rnacentral:rRNA from 1 species
UCCGUAGGCGGAUUAAUAAGUCAGAGGUGAAAUCCCACGGCUUAACUGUGGAACUGCCUUUGAUACUGUUAGUCUUGAGUUAUAUGGAAGUAGAUAGAAUGUGUAGUGUAGCGGUGAAAUGCAUAGAGAUUACACAGAAUACCGAUUGCGAAGGCAGUCUACUACGUAUAUACUGACGCUAAUGGACGAAAGCGUGGGGAGCGAACAGGAUUAGAUACCCUGGUAGUCC